rnacentral:rRNA from 1 species
UGAGUAACCUGCCCUUAACUCUGGGAUAAGCCUGGGAAACUGGGUCUAAUACCGGAUAUGACUCCUCAUCGCAUGGUGGGGGGUGGAAAGCUUUUGUGGUUUUGAAUGGACUCGCGGCCUAUCAGCUUGUUGGUGAGGUAAUGGCUCACCAAGGCGACGACGGGUAGCCGGCCUGAGAGGGUGACCGGCCACACUGGGACUGAGACACGGCCCAGACUCCUACGGGAGGCAG